UACGUAGGGGGCAAGCGUUAUCCGGAUUUACUGGGUGUAAAGGGAGCGUAGACGGCAGUGCAAGUCUGGAGUGAAAGGCGGGGGCUCAACCCCCGGACUGCUCUGGAAACUGUACGGCUGGAGCGCAGGAGGGGUAAGUGGAAUUCCUAGUGUAGCGGUGAAAUGCGUAGAUAUUAGGAGGAACACCAGUGGCGAAGGCGGCUUACUGGACUGUAACUGACGUUGAGGCUCGAAAGCGUGGGGAGCAAACAGG
rnacentral:rRNA from 1 species